rnacentral:rRNA from 1 species
GAUGAAUGCUGGCGGCGUGCCUAACACAUGCAAGUCGAGCGGCAGCGAGUUUUACACUGAAUUCUGGAAGCUUCUGAGUAGUACAGAAGAUUUAUUCAAGAGUUUUCUGUAAAAUGUCGGCGAGCGGCGGACGGCUGAGUAACGCGUAGGAAUUUGUCCCAAAGCGCGGAAUAACUGCCCGAAAGGGUAGCUAAUGCCGCAUAUGGUCUGCGGAUUAAAGCCUUCGGGGGCUUUGGGAGAAGCCUGCGUUGGAUUAGGUAGUUGGUAGGGUAAUGGCCUACCAAGGCGACGAUCCAUAGCUGGUCUGAGAGGAUGAUCAGCCAGACUGGAACUAAGACACGGUCCAGACUCCUACGGGAGGCAGCAGUGAGGAAUCUUCCACAAUGGGCGAAAGCCUGAUGGAGCAACGCCGCGUGAAGGAUGAAGGCCUUCGGGUUGUAAACUUCUUUUAUGAGUGAAGAAUAUGACGGUAACUCAUGAAUAAGCACCGGCUAACUACGUG